rnacentral:lncRNA from 1 species
GAGGGGAAUGGGUAACACUUUCCGAGGGGCCAGUGUUUGUAUGAGCAGCACUUCCUGAACCUGCCAUGGUCCCUGAAGAGGCCACAGGUCUUGAAGUAAACGAACGUAGACAUGUCCAGAGUCCUCUCCAGGCAGAGCUGGUCCAGGAUCAUGCCAGCUGGCUAGGUGACAGAGGAGGGCAGACUGUUUGGCCUGGAGUCAGGCCAGCCUGACUGAAAGAAAGAGUCAUGUCACUCUGCCCUGAAGCUUUGUGGUGUCACCCUGGUUAUUGCCACCCACCUUCAUCACACCUCACCCCACCACAGCCAACUGUGACUGAGCGGAUCUCUGGAACUUACAGAAUGGAUCCUGGCCAGGCUGGCUUCUUUGGUGAAGUGUCUGGCUUAUCCAGAAGACCAGCUCUUCUCCAGCCACCUCAAGCUCCCAGGAGCUCACUGGAUGGAAGAGAAGUGAACUUGACCUGCUGUUUCUGCACCCACAUCUUCUAGACUGCUGUUCCCGAUCCCUGCUAGAGUGUGCUUCUGGGGCAAGUGAAAUUCUGUACUUGAUUUCCGUGCCUUAAACCCAUGAGGACCAGGAAAGAGGAAAAUCAGAAGUGACGAGAGAGACGAGGGCCCUGGAGGAGCAGAUGUGGAAAAGGAAUCCUGCCUGCAGCCAACAUCUGCUUCCCUCGUUUCCAUCCUAGCCACAGGCUGGGCUGAUGGAGGAGUCUGACUAGCUCUUGGGACCACAGUCAGAUCCAUGGGACUGAAGCCCUGCUUAGCCUCUUCUUGCCCAGAGCUUCUGUAGGUGAGCUUGUGGCAUAUGCUCUAUGCCUGGCAGACAGUAUCUGGUGUCCAGUGAUGCCAGCUGCCAUGACCUGCUGGCUCCUUGUCCUGCUCCUCAUCACCCCCCCCCCCCCGGAACAGAGGCGCUUGCCCACCAUCUCUGAAACGAAGCUAUGACAUUUGGUUUGCUCUUCCUAGAUGACAGUUUCAGAGACAGCCUAUGACUCAUUAUGCCCUUUCCCUCCACUAUAAAGUCCAGCCACACUCCAGAUAAAGACUGCUUCCUCGGCCUGGGUCCCAGGACAAGGUCUAGGGCAGAGCCUCCAGAUGCAGUGUGCAGGGGCUGACGUAGGAAUAGCAAGCAGCCUCUGCCUGAAGCCACUGCAACUGAGGCUGUGCCCUUACUGCAGCCUUACCUGCCCUAUCCUCACCAGUUGACACCGGCUUUCAAGGGAAAGUCAUUCCCCAUCCAGACAUCAGCAGGCCCCAGAUUAAUUUCCAUUUGUGGCACUUGUCCACCGUUCUUCCAGAAAAAGUAUUAAACUAUGUUAAGUCUAUAAAAGUCCUCACUCGUACCCCAGCCCAAACCAUGCUUGGUAUGUAUGUUCCGUUCUCUGACCCGAUACAUCUGUGAAAUGGACCCCAUUUGGGAAGGCUCCAAGUGAGCCCUAGGGUUUUACUGCUAUGAACAGACACCAUGACCAUGGCAAGUCUUCUAAAGGACAGCAUUUAAUUGGGGCUGCCUUAUAGGUUCAGAGGUUCAGUCCAUUAUCACCAAAGUGGGAGCAUGGCAGCAUCCAGGCAGGCAUGGUGCAGGAGAAGCUGAGAGUUCUACAUCUUCAUCUGAAGGCUGCUAGUUGAAGACUGACUUCCAGGCAGAGGGUCUUAAGCCCACACCCACAGUGACACACCUAAUCCAACAAGGCCAUACUCACUCCAACAGGGCCACGCCCUGGGUUGAGCAUAUUCAAACCAACACAGGUAACUAUUCUGGCCAUUCCUUGACUCCCUUUACAAAACUGCUGAUCUGGGACCUGGUAGGAUGGUCCAGUGGGACCUCCCACCAAACCUGACAAGCUGAGCUCAAUUUCCGGGACCCACAUGGUGGAAGGAGAAAGUGACAUCUGCAAGUCAUCCUCGGACCUACAUACGUGCUCGCCCUGGCACACAUGGGCACUCACGUCCGUACACACGCUCAUUCAUAAGCACACAUACACAACACACACACAAACAUAAUUUUUAGACUCACACUGCUGACAUAUCUCUGAUCACGAGGACUCGGUUCUUCAUUCGUGGCUUUAAUCCCGUCUUUAUGAUCGUCUUCUGCAGGCUGAUGAUUAUUCUGAGAACAAGCAAAAGAAGACCUGAGCCGUUCCACCACUGUGCCCAGCUCACGGCACAUGCUUAAAUUCCAUGUGUGUGGAGCUAAAACAAGACAAAACUGGACUACACUUGGGGAUAGACUCUUAGUGGGUAAAACCAGAAAAACAGACAAGGAAGUGGGAGGAGGAGGAGAAGGAGGACAGGAAUUCACCUCCCAGCUCCCACAUAGCAGCUCAAACUGACUGUAACUACAGUUCCAAGAGAUCAAAUGUUCUCUUCUGGUCUCUGUGGGCACUGCACACAUGUGGUGCGCAGAUAUACAUGCAGACAAAACACCCAUACACAUAAAAGUAAACAAGAUAAGGAAAUGAUUGGCAUUAAGACUGGCCACAGGGAGGGGUGACCAGGCAGAGGCAGACGGCUGGAUCUGACUGUUUCUCUUCCUUGACAUUUAUGGAUGGGGGGUGUGGCUUUCAUCUUUCCCCUUUGUGUGUCCAGGAUAUAUUUAAAAAAGAAAUUUUGAAGCAUUGUUCUAGGAACUGAGGUAUAGCUAGUUGGUAAAGGGUGUGUUGUGUAGGUUUACUGGAGAUGUGCCAGGAAUGGAGCCAGGAAUGGAGGAGACCUCCAUCUUAAAUUAAAAAAUAAAACACAUUGUAUGUCGCUCUGCAUCACAUGGUGAGAGUCCUCUGCUUGCUUCCUAUGGCUAUACCUGAUCUAUCAUCUGAAUGUGUCAAAUGUAUUUAUCCAUCCCGUUCCUGGGGGCCACUGGGCUUGUUUUUAGCAUGGGGACCGUGUGGACGAUGAGGCUCUGAG